rnacentral:tRNA from 1 species
GGGGUUGUAGCUCAGUAGGUUAGAGCGGUGGCUUGAAACCCCACAGGUCGUUGGUUCGAUUCCAACUGGCCCCACCA